UGGGGAAUUUUGCACAAUGGGGGAAACCCUGAUGCAGCGACGCCGCGUGAUUGAGAAGGCCUUCGGGUUGUAAAAAUCUUUUCUAUGGGAAGAAAAUGACAGUACCAUAGGAAUAAGGACCGGCUAAUUACGUGCCAGCAGCCGCGGUAAUACGUAAGGUCCGAGCGUUGUCCGGAAUCAUUGGGCGUAAAGGGUACGUAGGCGGGUAAGCAAGUUAGAAGUGAAAUCCUAUAGCUCAACUAUAGUAAGCUUUUAAAACUGCUCAUCUUGAGGUAUGGAAGGGAAAGUGGAAUUCCUAGUGUAGCGGUGAAAUGCGCAGAUAUUAGGAGGAAUACCGGUGGCGAAGGCGACUUUCUGGCCAUAACCUGACGCUGAGGUACGAAAGCGUGGGUAGCAAACAGG
rnacentral:rRNA from 1 species